GGGAAGGUAGCUCAGUGGUAGAGUGCUUGCCUUGCAUACAUGAGGCCCUAGGUUCAAUUCCUCAGCAUCACA
rnacentral:tRNA from 1 species